rnacentral:rRNA from 1 species
UACGGGGGGGGGCAAGCGUUGUUCGGAAUUACUGGGCGUAAAGGGCUCGUAGGUGGCCAACUAAGUCAGACGUGAAAUCCCUCGGCUUAACCGGGGAACUGCGUCUGAUACUGGAUGGCUUGAGUUUGGGAGAGGGACGCGGAAUUCCAGGUGUAGCGGUGAAAUGCGUAGAUAUCUGGAGGAACACCGGUGGCGAAGGCGGCGUCCUGGACCAACACUGACACUGAGGAGCGAAAGCAUGGGGAGCGAACAGG